GACAGAGGGUGCAAACGUUGUUCGGAAUUACUGGGCGUAAAGCGCGUGUAGGCUGCUCGGAAAGUCGGAUGUGAAAGCCCUGGGCUCAACCUAGGAAGUGCAUUCGAAAACUUCCGAGCUGGAGUGCUGGAGAGGAAGGCGGAAUUCUCGGUGUAGAGGUGAAAUUCGUAGAUAUCGAGAGGAACACCGGUGGCGAAGGCGGCCUUCUGGACAGCGACUGACGCUGAGACGCGAAAGCGUGGGGAGCAAACAGGG
rnacentral:rRNA from 1 species